rnacentral:rRNA from 1 species
GACGAACGCUGGCGGCGUGCUUAACACAUGCCAGUCGAGCGGUAAGGCCCUUCGGGGUCCACGAGCGGCGAACGGGUGAGUAACACGUGAGUAAUCUGCCCAUCACUUCGGGAUAACUCCGGGAAACCGGUGCUAAUACCGAAUAUGACCACUUCAGGCAUCUGAUGGUGGUGGAAAGUUCCGGCGGUGAUGGAUGAGCUCGCGGCCUAUCAGCUUGUUGGUGGGGUAGUGGCCUACCAAGGCUUCGACGGGUAGCCGGCCUGAGAGGGUGACCGGCCACACUGGGACUGAGACACGGCCCAGACUCCUACGGGAGGCAGCAGUGGGGAAUAUUGGACAAUGGGCGAAAGCCUGAUCCAGCAACGCCGCGUGAGGGAUGACGGCCUUCGGGUUGUAAACCUCUUUCAGCAGGGACGAAGCGCAAGUGACGGUACCUGCAGAAGAAGCACCGGCCAACUACGUG